rnacentral:misc_RNA from 1 species
GAAAGUAAAAGUCGUAACAAGGUCUCCGUAGGUGAACCUGCGGAGGGAUCAUUACAGAGUUCUCGCCCUCGCGGGUAGAUCUCCCACCCACUGUUAUCGUUACUGUGUUGCUUUGGCGGGCCGCCGGGCCCCGCUCGGCCGCCGGCUCCGGCUGGCGCGCGCCCGCCAGAGGCCCAGCAAACUCUGAAUGUUAGUGUCGUCUGAGUACUAUAUAAUAGUUAAAACUUUCAACAACGGAUCUCUUGGUUCUG